rnacentral:misc_RNA from 1 species
GCAAACUUGGUCAUUUAGAGGAAGUAAAAGUCGUAACAAGGUCUCCGUUGGUGAACCAGCGGAGGGAUCAUUACCGAGUUUACAACUCCCAAACCCUUUGUGAACAUUACCUGUCGUUGCUUCGGCGGUACCGCCCCGGCGCCCUCGGGCCCGGAAGCAGGCGCCCGCCGGGGGACCCACACCAAACUCUUUGACGAUUCCCGGGGACCCACCCGGCGGCAUUAUCUGAGUACAGCGAAUCAAAAACGCAUCAAAACUUUCAACAACGGAUCUCUUGGUUCUGGCAUCGAUGAAGAACGCAGC